GGGCCCGCACAAGCGGUGGAGUAUGUGGUUUAAUUCGACGCAACGCGAAGAACCUUACCAGGUCUUGACAUUGAUGGACGAAACAAGAGAUUGUUUUUCUCCUUCGGGAGCCAGAAAACAGGUGGUGCACGGCUGUCGUCAGCUCGUGUCGUGAGAUGUUGGGUUAAGUCCCGCAACGAGCGCAACCCCUAUCUUAUGUUGCCAGCACUUCGGGUGGGAACUCAUGAGAGACUGCCGCAGACAAUGCGGAGGAAGGCGGGGAUGACGUCAAGUCAUCAUGCCCCUUAUGACCUGGGCUACACACGUACUACAAUGGGCUUUAAUAGAGGGAAGCAAAACCGCGAGGUGGAGCAAACCCCAGAAACAAGCUCUCAGUUCGGAUUGCAGGCUGCAACUCGCCUGCAUGAAGUCGGAAUCGCUAGUAAUCGCAGGUCAGCAUACUGCGGUGAAUACGUUCCCGGGCCUU
rnacentral:rRNA from 1 species